CCUACGGGGGGCAGCAGUGAGGAAUAUUGGUCAAUGGGCGGGAGCCUGAACCAGCCAAGUCGCGUGAGGGAAGACGGUCCUAUGGAUUGUAAACCUCUUUUGUCGGGGAGCAAAGAGGCCACGUGUGGUCAAAAGCGAGAGUACCCGAAGAAAAAGCAUCGGCUAACUCCGUGCCAGCAGCCGCGGUAAUACGGAGGAUGCGAGCGUUAUCCGGAUUUAUUGGGUUUAAAGGGUGCGUAGGCGGGACGGUAAGUCAGCGGUAAAAUCGUGGGGCCCAACCCCAUCCCGCCGUUGAAACUGGCGGG
rnacentral:rRNA from 1 species